UACGUAGGGUGCAAGCGUUAUCCGGAAUUAUUGGGCGUAAAGGGCGCGUAGGCGGUGCGGUAAGUCACCUGUGAAAUCUCCUGGCUCAACUGGGAGCUUGCAGGCGAAACUGCCGUGCUGGAGUGUGGGAGAGGUGCGUGGAAUUCCUGGUGUAGCGGUGAAAUGCGUAGAUAUCAGGAGGAACACCUGUGGCGAAAGCGGCGCACUGGACCACAACUGACGCUGAGGCGCGAAAGCUAGGGGGAGCAAACAGG
rnacentral:rRNA from 1 species